rnacentral:rRNA from 1 species
CUCCGGUUGAUCCUGCCGGACCCGACUGCUAUCAGAGUGAGAUUAAGCCAUGCGAGUUAACGUAGCAAUACGUGGCGCACGGCUCAGUAACACGUAGUCAACAUGCCCAGAGGACGUGGAUAACCUCGGGAAACUGAGUCUAAACCGCGAUAAGUGAGGAUUUCUGGAAUGGUUCCUGACUAAAAUCUAUAUGGCCUCUGGAUUGGACUGCGGCCGAUCAGGCUGUUGGUGAGGUAAUGGCCCACCAAACCUGUAACCGGUACGGGCUCUGAGAGGAGGAGCCCGGAGAUGGGCACUGAGACAAGGGCCCAGGCCCUAUGGGGCGCAGCAGGCGCGAAACCUCUGCAAUAGGCGAAAGCCUGACAGGGUUACUCUGAGUGACUUUCGCUAAGAAAGUCUUUUGGCACCUCUAAAAAGGGUGCAGAAUAAGGGGUGGGCAAGUCUGGUGUCAGCCGCCGCGGUAAUACCAGCACCCCGAGUGGUCGGGACGAUUAUUGGGCCUAAAGCAUCCGUAGCCGGUUCUGCAAGUCCCCCGUUAAAUCCAGCUGCUCAACAGAUGGGCCGCGGAGGAUACUACAGAGCUAGGAGGCAGGAGAGGCAAGCGGUACUCAGUGGGUAGGGGUAAAAUCCGUUGAUCCAUUGAAGACCACCAGUGGCGAAGGCGGCUUGCCAGAAUGCGCUCGACGGUGAGGGAUGAAAGCUGGGGGAGCAAACUGGAUUAGAUACCCGGGUAGUCCCAGCCGUAAACGAUGCAGACUCGGUGAUGGGUUGGCUUCGCGCUAACCCAGUGCCGCAGGGAAGCCGUUAAGUCUGCCGCCUGGGUAGUACGGUCGCAAGACUGAAACUUAAAGGAAUGGCGGGGGAGCA